CACCACGAAGACCCUUCCCAUCCUUUGACCUUCCCAAGAAGGACACUUGACACAUGUUUAGUUUAGGAUAGUGACAGUGAUUAGAGGAAGGAGAAGAGACUCUGAAGCUGAGCCAUUUGUCUCCGCUGAAGAAAGAAACGACAACCUGUAGGGUCUCCUAUUCCCACAAACCUAUCUCCUCCUUUAUGUUACUUGAAUUAAUAAACUACCUUGUUUUGAAGAAACUCGAAGUCAGAUUCAAAUCAGAAGAACAAAGAAAGAGAAGGUGUUGGCUAGGCUGGCCAUUUAGCCUUGGCUAAACAACAAAGAACCAACAGGGACGGUCAGCCUGCCAGACAAGUGGGACUUCUGGGGGGUCAAGUACCAGUCAAGCCAUGAGAGAAGUAAACUCCAUUAUUCCCCAAGAGCCUACUCAUUGAGACACUGCCCCUAUUCAUCCUUGCCUUAACAUCAGCUCAGGGGUACCUCUCUGGAAGCUUAGUAUACCCACCAGAACUGUUAUGCAGAUCCAGUGAGAUAAGAUGGGAAGCAGAUCAUGAUCAUCCAGCCUCCCAAGGCAGUCCUUGUGAAGGCACCAAGGAAGAUGUGGUAAAAAUGUGGAUGGUUCUAUUCAGCCCCUUUCCAUUACCAAAGAAAUCAUUCAAGUCAUCAUACCUUCAUUACCUACUUUGUACCACAGCUAGGAGGAAAAUGAACAUUAAAUGUACGAAGAAAAAUAUCAGGAAUGAAACCUAUACCAGGACGGUUUCUAUUAAAACGACAUUGAAAAAGAGAAGAACAGAAUGAAAACUACUACUACUACUACUACUACUACUACUACUACUACUACUACUACUACUACUACUACUACUACUACUACUACUACUUCAUUUUAGGAGGCAUCCAUUGGUUGGGGAAUGGCUGACCAAAUAGUGGUAUAUGAUAAUGAUGGAAUACUAUUGUGCUGUAAAAAAUGAACUGGAGGAUGUCAACAUGAACUGGAAGAACUUCCAUGAACUGAUGCAGAGUGUAAUAAGCAGGACCAAGAGAACAUUGUCCACAGAAAGUGAAACAUUGUGGAAUGAUCCAAUGUAAUGGACUCUACAACUAGUAACAAUGCACUGAUCCAGGACAGUCCCAAGGGACUUAUGAGAAAGAAUGCUAUCCACAUCAAGAGAAAGAACUGUGGGAAUAUAAAAGCAGAAGAAAAAUAUACGACAUCACUUGUUUAUAUGGGUGCAUGAUUUGGGGUUUUGGUUUUAAAAGAUUGCUCAAUUGCAAAAAUGAAUAAUAUAGAGGGAGGCAGAAUCAAGAUGGCUGCAUAGAGGCAGCAAAUGUUCAGGCCUCUGAAAACUCUUCCUUACUGAUUGCAAAGUAAAUGCUCCUAAGGGACUAAAAAUCAAACCGAACAACAAGACAGAGCCAAGGAACCCUUCUGCUGGAUUCACCUUAAAAAGCAUUCCCCCAAAAGCUGGAAUUUGGGAACACUCCUGUUUAAGGGGAAGGAAGAAGGAAGGUCCUGGGACCCCUCCCCCAUAUAGAGGGCUAAGCCUCCAGUGGCAGCUGGAACCUCUGGGUGGGCAAAGGUGCUGGUCUGGAGGGAAUACCUUGAGGGCAAAACUGUGCCAGGCUCAGAGUGUCCAACACAGGCAGUGGGGAAGCAGAUAGGGGAGAAGCACAGAGUGCAGAGUGGGAGACAGAGUUGCAGCAGUGGAGACACUCCAUAUUGACACCUCCCCCUUCCUAAGGCUAUGGCCCCAGGGCACAUCCAGCAACCCAACCAGACUUAAUCCCAUCAAAGCCUCCA
rnacentral:lncRNA from 1 species